GAGUUUGAUCCUGGCUCAGGACGAACGCUGGCGGCGUGCUUAACACAUGCAAGUCGAACGAGAAUCUACUGAAAGAGUUUUCGGACAAUGGAAGUAGAGGAAAGUGGCGGACGGGUGAGUAACGCGUGAGGAACCUGCCUUGAAGAGGGGGACAACAGUUGGAAACGACUGCUAAUACCGCAUGAAGCAUAGGGGUCGCAUGAUCUUUAUGCCAAAGAUUUAUCGCUUCAAGAUGGCCUCGCGUCUGAUUAGCUAGUUGGCGGGGUAACGGCCCACCAAGGCGACGAUCAGUAGCCGGACUGAGAGGUUGAACGGCCACAUUGGGACUGAGAUACGGCCCAGACUCCUACGGGAGGCAGCAGUGGGGAAUAUUGGGCAAUGGGCGCAAGCCUGACCCAGCAACGCCGCGUGAAGGAAGAAGGCUUUCGGGUUGUAAACCUCUUUUAAGAGGGAAGAGCAGAAGACGGUACCUCUAGAAUAAGCCACGGCUAACUACGUGCCAGCCGCCGCGGUAAUAC
rnacentral:rRNA from 1 species